CCUACGGGAGGCAGCAGUGAGGAAUAUUGGUCAAUGGACGCAAGUCUGAACCAGUCAUGCCGCGUGCAGGAAGACGGCUCUAUGAGUUGUAACCUGCUUUUGUACGGGGGUAAACGCAGAUACGCGUAUCUGUCUGAAAGUAUCGUACGAAUAAGGAUCGGCUAACUCAGUGCCAGCAGCCGCGGUAAUACGGAGGAUUCAAGCGUUAUCCGGAUUUAUUGGGUUUAAAGGGUGCGUAGGCGGUCGGAUAAGUUAGAGGUGAAAUCCCGAGGCUCAACUUCGGAAUUGCCUCUGAAACUGUUCGGCUAGAGAGUAGUUGCGGUAGGCGGAAUGUAUGGUGUAGCGGUGAAAUGCUUAGAGAUCAUACAGAACACCGAUUGCGAAGGCAGCUUACCAAGCUACUUCUGACGUUGAGGCACGAAAGCGUGGGGAGCAAACAGGAUUAGAUACCCUUGUAGUC
rnacentral:rRNA from 1 species